rnacentral:rRNA from 1 species
GACGAACGCUGGCGGCGUGCUUAACACAUGCAAGUCGAACGGAAAGGCCCUGCUUGCAGGGUAUUCGAGUGGCGAACGGGUGAGUAACACGUGGGUGAUCUGCCCUGCACUUCGGGAUAAGCCUGGGAAACUGGGUCUAAUACCGGAUAGGAGCCAUUUUUAGUGUGAUGGUUGGAAAGUUUUUUCGGUGUAGGAUGAGCUCGCGGCCUAUCAGCUUGUUGGUGGGGUAAUGGCCUACCAAGGCGGCGACGGGUAGCCGGCCUGAGGGGGUGGACGGCCACAUUGGGACUGAGAUACGGCCCAGACUCCUACGGGAGGCAGCAGUGGGGAAUAUUGCACAAUGGGCGCAAGCCUGAUGCAGCGACGCCGCGUGGGGGAUGACGGCCUUCGGGUUGUAAACUCCUUUCGCUAGGGACGAAGCUUUUUGUGACGGUACCUAGAUAAGAAGCACCGGCUAACUACGUG